rnacentral:rRNA from 1 species
GACGAACGCUGGCGGCGUGCUUAACACAUGCAAGUCGAACGGAGUGGCGAACGGGGGAGUAAAACGUGGGUGACCUGCCCUGCACUUCGGGAUAAGCCUGGGAAACUGGGUCUAAUACAGGAUAGUUGGGGAUGGGCCCGCGGCCUAUCAGCUUGUUGGUGGGGUAAUGGCCUACCAAGGCGGCGACGGGUCGCCGGCCCUAGAGGGUGGACGGCCACCAUGGGAAUGAGGCACGGCCCAGAAUUCUACGGGCGGCAAGAGGGGGGAAUAUGGCACAAUGGGCGGAAGCCUGAUGCAGCGACGCCGCGUGGGGGAUGACGGCCUUCGGGUUGUAAACUCCUUUCACCAUCGACGCGGUAGAUGGAGAAGAAGCACCGGCUAACUACGUGCCAGCAGCCGCGGUAAUUC